AGAGUUUGAUCAUGGCUCAGAAUCAACGCUGGCGGCGCGCUUAACACAUGCAAGUCGAACGGGAAAGUGGGCAACCAUGAGUACAGUGGCGUACGGGUGAGUAACACGUGGGUGAUCUACCUCUUAGUGGGGAAUAACCCUGGGAAACCGGGGCUAAUACCGCAUAAGCUCGAGAGAGGAAAGCAGCAAUGCGCUGAGAGAGGAGCCCGCGGCCGAUUAGCUAGUUGGUAGGGUAAGAGCCUACCAAGGCAGAGAUCGGUAGCCGGCCUGAGAGGGCACACGGCCACACUGGCACUGAAACACGGGCCAGACUCCUACGGGAGGCAGCAGUGGGGAAUCUUGCACAAUGGGGGCAACCCUGAUGCAGCGACGCCGCGUGAGCGAUGAAGCCCUUCGGGGUGUAAAGCUCUUUCGGCAGGGAAGAUGAUGACGGUACCUGCAGAAGCAGCUGCGGCUAACUACGUGCCAGCAGCCGCGGUAAUACGUAGGCAGCGAGCGUUGUUCGGAGUUACUGGGCGUAAAGGGUGUGUAGGCGGUCUUUUAAGUUUGGUGUGAAAUCUCCCGGCUCAACCGGGAGGGUGCGCCGAAUACUGAGAGACUUGGAGUGCGGGAGAGGAAAGUGGAAUUCCUGGUGUAGCGGUGAAAUGCGUAGAUAUCAGGAGGAACACCGGUGGUGUAGACGGCUUUCUGGACCGUAACUGACGCUGAGACACGAAAGCGUGGGUAGCAAACAGGAUUAGAUACCCCGGUAGUCC
rnacentral:rRNA from 1 species